UACGGAGGGUGCAAGCGUUAAUCGGAAUUACUGGGCGUAAAGCGCGCGUAGGUGGUUCGUUAAGUUGGAUGUGAAAUCCCCGGGCUCAACCUGGGAACUGCAUUCAAAGCUGACGAGCUAGAGUAUGGUAGAGGGUGGUGGAAUUUCCUGUGUAGCGGUGAAAUGCGUAGAUAUAGGAAGGAACACCAGUGGCGAAGGCGACCACCUGGACUGAUACUGACACUGAGGUGCGAAAGCGUGGGGAGCAAACAGG
rnacentral:rRNA from 1 species